AGGGAGUUUGAUCCUGGCUCAGGAUGAACGCUAGCUACAGGCUUAACACAUGCAAGUCGAGGGGCAGCAUGGGAUUAGCUUGCUAAUCCUGAUGGCGACCGGCGCACGGGUGAGUAACGCGUAUCCAACCUUCCCCUUACUCUGGGAUAGCCCGGUGAAAACCGGAUUAACACCAGAUGGUUUCAUUAGAUGGCAUCUGACGAUGAAUAAAGUUUACGGUAAGGGAUGGGGAUGCGUCUGAUUAGCUUGUUGGCGGGGUAACGGCCCACCAAGGCAACGAUCAGUAGGGGUUCUGAGAGGAAGGUCCCCCACAUUGGAACUGAGACACGGUCCAAACUCCUACGGGAGGCAGCAGUGAGGAAUAUUGGUCAAUGGGCGAGAGCCUGAACCAGCCAAGUAGCGUGCAGGACGACGGCCCUAUGGGUUGUAAACUGCUUUUGUGCGGGAAUAAAGUCAUCCACGUGUGGAUGUUUGCAUGUACCGCAAGAAUAAGGACCGGCUAAUUCCGUGCCAGCAGCCGCGGUAAUACGGAAGGUCCGGGCGUUAUCCGGAUUUAUUGGGUUUAAAGGGAGCGUAGGCCGUUCCUUAAGCGUGUUGUGAAAUGUAGGCGCCCAACGUCUGCACUGCAGCGCGAACUGGGGGACUUGAGUACGCGGGAAGCAGGCGGAAUUCGUCGUGUAGCGGUGAAAUGCUUAGAUAUGACGAAGAACUCCGAUUGCGAAGGCAGCCUGCUGUAGCGCCACUGACGCUGAUGCUCGAAAGCGUGGGUAUCGAACAGGAUUAGAUACCCUGGUAGUCCCCU
rnacentral:rRNA from 1 species